GAUAAACGCUGGCGGCGCACAUAAGACAUGCAAGUCGAACGGACUUAACCAUUAGUUUACUAUUGGAGCGGUUAGUGGCGGACUAGUGAGUAACACGUAAGCAACCUGCCUAUCAGAGGGGGAACAACAGUUAGAAAUGACUGCUAAUACCGCAUAUGCCUUAGUAACACAUGUUACAAAAGGGAAAGGAGCAAUCCGCUGAUAGAUGGGCUUGCGUCUGAUUAGCUAGAUGGCGGGGUAACGGCCCACCAUGGCGACGAUCGGUAGCCGGACUGAGAGGUUGAUCGGCCACAUUGGGACUGAGACACGGCCCAG
rnacentral:rRNA from 1 species